rnacentral:rRNA from 1 species
GUAGGUGGCAAGCGUUGUCCGGAAUUAUUGGGGCGUAAAGCGCGCGCAGGCGGUUCUUUAAGUCUGAUGUGAAAGCCCACGGGCUCAACCGUGGAGGGUCAUUGGAAACUGGAGAACUUGAGUACAGAAGAGGAAAGCGGAAUUCCACGUGUAGCGGUGAAAUGCGUAGAGAUGUGGAGGUACACCAGUGGCGAAGGCGGCUUUCUGGUCUGUAACUGACGCUGAGGCGCGAAAGCGUGGGGAGCAAACAGGAUUAGAUACCCUGGUAGUCCACGCCGUAAACGAUGAGUGCUAAGUGUUAGGGGGUUUCCGCCCCUUAGUGCUGCAGCUAACGCAUUAAGCACUCCGCCUGGGGAGUACGGCCGCAAAGGCUGA